GACGAACGCUGGCGGCGUGCUUAACACAUGCAAGUCGAACGGACCUGUUUUUGAAGCGCUUCGGCGUGGAGGGAGCGGGUUAGUGGCGCACGGGUGAGUAAUGCGCGAGGGACCCUGCCCGCGGGAGGGGGACAGCAGUUGGAAACGGCUGGUGAUACCCCGUAGGCCGGGAGGUGAAAGGGCGGAGACGCCCGCCUGCCGGAUGGACUCGCGGUCCUAUCAGCUAGUUGGUGAGGCAACGGCUCACCAAGGCGACGACGGGUAGCCGGCCUGAGAGGGUGUCCGGCCACACUGGAACUGAGACACGGUCCAGACUCCUACGGGAGGCAGCAGUGGGGAAUUUUGGGCAAUGGGGGAGACCCUGACCCAGCGACGCCGCGUGAGGGACGAAGGCCCUUGGGUCGUAAACCUCUUUUGCAGGGGAAGAAGAAGAUGACGGUACCUUGCGAACAAGUCCCGGCUAACUACGUGCCAGCAGCCGCGGUAAGCUGUAGUCGU
rnacentral:rRNA from 1 species